UAAGGGCGCACGGUGGAUGCCUUGGCACUAGAAGCCGAUGAAGGACGUUACUAACGACGAUAUGCUUUGGGGAGCUGUAAGUAAGCUUUGAUCCAGAGAUUUCCGAAUGGGGAAACCCAGCAUGAGUUAUGUCAUGUUAUCGAUAUGUGAAUACAUAGCAUAUCAGAAGGCACACCCGGAGAACUGAAACAUCUUAGUACCCGGAGGAAGAGAAAGAAAAUUCGAUUCCCUUAGUAGCGGCGAGCGAAACGGGAAGAGCCCAAACCAACAAGCUUGCUUGUUGGGGUUGUAGGACACUCUAUACGGAGUUACAAAGGACGACAUUAGACGAAUCAUCUGGAAAGAUGAAUCAAAGAAGGUAAUAAUCCUGUAGUCGAAAAUGUUGUCUCUCUUGAGUGGAUCCUGAGUACGACGGAGCACGUGAAAUUCCGUCGGAAUCUGGGAGGACCAUCUCCUAAGGCUAAAUACUCUCUAGUGACCGAUAGUGAACCAGUACCGUGAGGGAAAGGUGAAAAGCACCCCGGAAGGGGAGUGAAAUAGAACCUGAAACCGUGUGCUUACAAGUAGUCAGAGCCCGUUAAUGGGUGAUGGCGUGCCUUUUGUAGAAUGAACCGGCGAGUUACGAUUUGAUGCAAGGUUAAGCAGUAAAUGUGGAGCCGUAGCGAAAGCGAGUCUGAAUAGGGCGUUUAGUAUUUGGUCGUAGACCCGAAACCAGGUGAUCUACCCUUGGUCAGGUUGAAGUUCAGGUAACACUGAAUGGAGGACCGAACCGACUUACGUUGAAAAGUGAGCGGAUGAACUGAGGGUAGCGGAGAAAUUCCAAUCGAACCUGGAGAUAGCUGGUUCUCUCCGAAAUAGCUUUAGGGCUAGCCUCAAGUGAUGAUUAUUGGAGGUAGAGCACUGUUUGGACGAGGGGCCCCUCUCGGGUUACCGAAUUCAGACAAACUCCGAAUGCCAAUUAAUUUAAUUUGGGAGUCAGAACAUGGGUGAUAAGGUCCGUGUUCGAAAGGGAAACAGCCCAGACCACCAGCUAAGGUCCCAAAAUAUAUGUUAAGUGGAAAAGGAUGUGGCGUUGCCCAGACAACUAGGAUGUUGGCUUAGAAGCAGCCAUCAUUUAAAGAGUGCGUAAUAGCUCACUAGUCGAGUGACACUGCGCCGAAAAUGUACCGGGGCUAAACAUAUUACCGAAGCUGUGGAUUGUCCUUUGGACAAUGGUAGGAGAGCGUUCUAAGGGC
rnacentral:rRNA from 1 species